GACGAACGCUGGCGGCGUGCUUAACACAUGCAAGUCGAACGGAAAGGCCCUGCUUUUGUGGGGUGCUCGAGUGGCGAACGGGUGAGUAACACGUGAGUAACCUGCCCUUGACUUUGGGAUAACUUCAGGAAACUGGGGCUAAUACCGGAUAGGAGCUCCUGCUGCAUGGUGGGGGUUGGAAAGUUUCGGCGGUUGGGGAUGGACUCGCGGCUUAUCAGCUUGUUGGUUGGGUAGUGGCUUACCAAGGCUUUCACGGGUAGCCGGCCUGAGUGGGUUACCGGCCUAAUUGGAACGUAGAAUCGUCCCAGACUCCGUCGGGAGACAGCAGUUGGUGAUAUUGCUCAAGGGGUGGAAGUCUGAUGCAGCAACGUCGCUGGCGGGAUAACGGCCUUCGGUUUGUAAUCCGCUUUCGCCUGUGACGAAGCGUGAGUGACGGUAAUGGGUAAAGAAGCACCGGCUAACUACGUG
rnacentral:rRNA from 1 species